rnacentral:rRNA from 1 species
AAACUUUCAACAACGGAUCUCUUGGUUCUCGCAUCGAUGAAGAACGCAGCGAAAUGCGAUAAGUAGUGUGAAUUGCAGAAUUCCGUGAAUCAUCGAAUCUUUGAACGCACAUUGCGCCUCCUGGUAUUCCGGGAGGCAUGCCUGUUCGAGCGUCAUCA